GAGGGUAUAGCUCAGUGGUAGAGCGCAUGCUUAGCAUACAUGAGGUCCUGGGUUCAACCCCCAGUGCCUUCA
rnacentral:tRNA from 1 species